rnacentral:lncRNA from 1 species
ACAACACAAACACAUAUACAUACACUUUACACACACUUUUACACUCAUCAUUUGCUGCUGCUACUCUGAUCUUUAUUUUACUCUUAUUAUCUAUCCUGAUGUCUAGUCACUUUACCCUGCCUUCAUGUACAUGUCUACCUCAAAUACCUUACUAUUAUCUAUCCUGAUGUCUAGUCACUUUACCCUGCCUUCAUGUACAUGUCUACCUCUAACUCUGCACAUUGAUCUGGUACUGAUACUCUCUGUAUGUAGCUCCACAUUGAUCUGGUACUGAUACUCCCUGUAUAUAGCUCCAUUCUUGUGUAUUUUACUUCUAUUCCUCUUGUUACUAUUUUAUGGUAAAGUCUAUACCAGUUGUAUUCGGCGCAUGUGAUUUUCUAACAUGAAUGUAUCUAUAUUUUAAUACCAUAAGCAUCUCAGCUGUGGGAGGAUCUCCUCCUGCAAUGUUGUGCCGAUUCUGCUACACUUACUGUCCUCCUCCUCCAGUGGUUGGAACUCAUAAAUGACGUUGCUACUUUGCAGCCAAUGUAAAAAUGAUCCUUCACUGUGGUCACUCCUCGGGGUAUUUGUCUCUUGCGUCCACUAUCCGUUUUCUCUAUUUGAAAUGACACUAUCAGAAAUAGGAAAAGCACUCACACAUCUGAGAUAACUUGUGUGUAUGGGAGAAUCAUUUGCUAAUAACUUGAAAGAAAAUAUAAGGCUGAUAAUGGCAAGAUCAGUGUGUGGGUUUGUUUUUUUCAUUAGACAAUUCAUUUGGCUAACCAUGUUGAAGGAUACCAGAUUUGACUUCUACAGCUACUGCAGCUCAUGCAGUCAUGAAAUGGAUUAGUGCAAGCCCUACCCUUGUAAUGAAGGUAGGCCUUAAGGAUGACAUGCACAGGAGAAACAUUAUUAGCAAAUAUCACUAUCACAAAGGUGUGCAGAAAGGAAUAUUUACAUGUUUUAUUUUAAUUUCAAAAUACAUGUCGCUUGAAAUAAAGUUACAAUUUGUUUGCUUUGUGUUAUGUAUAAUCCUGGUGUGAUUAUUAUCAGUUCAACAUUGUCACCACAAGGUGUCAGCAUUAGCAUUUGUAUUAUAAUCUAGCUUUACUUAAUGCAAACAAACCAGUAGCUAGGUCUCCUAACGUGAGGUCGACAAUACAUGCCUAACACAAGCUAGCGGUUUAUUAAAACUACAGUUUCUUAAUUGAAACUAAGAGGGCAAUACACCUGGGUAAAAUAUAGUUGCAUUUUGGAGGAAGCAGAAGACGACCUAGGAGAGACAUUGAUAACAUCAAACAAAAAAUGUGGGUACACUCAGUUAUUGUGAAAACGUGCAUCACCUUGCAAUCCGCCAGGCUGCGAAGGUGCAUGGUGUAGCUCAGCAGACCCUAGCGUACAGGCUGUGCGGCCCGGGUGACCCAUGGUUGUCGCAGUGGACCACCCACAUUGCUUGCACCAGACGAUGAAAAUUAUCUGGGGCAGUACUGUAUCUACUGCACCAGGCAUGGGUUCCCCUUCACCAGACAGAGGCUGAUGAAAUACGCCGACAAAAUACACAGGUUUCGGCACCCAUGGGAAACAAUCCCACCACUGGGGAAGAGGUGGUGGGAAAUGUUUAGGAGGAGGCACAAGAACCUGAGCAUGAGGAGGCCAGACACUCUGGACUGGGGGAGAGCUGAGUGUGCUACACGUCUGACGACGGACGCCUUCUUCACUUCUUAUGAGAAGCACUUGGAGGAGAGUGGGUUGAGGGAGAAACCCAGACAAAAUCUAUAACUGCGAUGAGUCUGGGUUUCGAAGCGACUAGAGCAGGCACAAAGUGCUUGCUCCCUGGGGUGCAAAACACAUGUACCAGCAGGCUCCUGCUUCAACGCAGCUGGGGAGGACGUCCCCCAGUUUAUCAUCUACCCCAAGUGUUUCUCCCCCCCAGCCUUUGGAUGGUAAAACAGUGGCUACAUUGACGGGAACCUGUUCAGGAAGUGGUUUCAGCACUUCAUUAAGCAUGCAGUGAAGGAGCGCCCUCUCCUUCUCCUCUUUGAUGGGCACAAGAGCCACAUGGACCCGGAGGUGCUCGCUGCGGCACUAAGGGAAGGGGUUAUACUGCUUUGUCUUCCACCACACUGCACCCAUGUCCUGCAGCCGCUGGACGUGGCAUACUUUGGUCCUUUAAAGGCGGAGUUCUCCAAGGUAGCCAUUUUGACCACUCCUACAUGGUAAACAAAUCAGAAUUUGCCAGAGUAUUCCGCUACCCGUACCAGCGCUGCAAGGACAUGUGCUAUGUGGUGGAAAGGUUUAAGAAGUGUGGCCUCUUCCCUUUUGACCCUUCAACUAUUGAAGGGUCCUGUUGAAUGCCGUCUCGGUCCCUACCGGAUCCCACCACCGCCUCCCCUGGAACCAGCAGCACUGUGCCAUCCAUCAGCGCCUCCUCCCCAGCGACCACAGGAGGACCCUCAGCCCCUGAUCCAGUCCCAGCUCCAGCCCUAGCUCUAGAAGAGCACCCCCUAUUAGAGGGGGGGCUGAUAGCAAAGGACCUGGGGCACAUACUUACUGUCCUGAAGUAUCAGCUAGACCGAUAAAGAAGACUCCCUGUGGUCGCUGCAUGCCUCACCGGGGAGGAAUACACGCGCCAUUGGCAGGAGAGGGGCGAGAAGGAGAGGGCCGAGGCAGAGGAGAAAGAACGUCGGGCAGCCCUCAGAACACAGAGGGCAAAGGAGAGGGCUGCCAUGGAUGAGACCAUUGACGCCUCUGCUGGAGGCCCCGCUGGAACCACUCCUGACAGCUGCAUCACCAUUGCCAGUGUCUCCCAGUGUGCAACACCUGUAGGAGCCGCCGGAGUCCCCAGCUGCAGAAGAAGGCCACGUGCCUACUCUCCUGACUAUCGUCGGCCCCUCAACCCCAACAUUACACCAGCUCCUCCAAGCCAUCGUCAGCGGUUUCGUCCACCACCACGAUGCACACCACCCCCCCUGUCUGGCACCAGUAACGCGGCCUACUCUGGCCCAGCUGCCUCCUCUGUCUCCCCUGGUCACACCACCAUAGCAGCCUUGUCUGGUGUCCCUGCAAUUCGAAUACAGCCACCUCCACAGUCCACAGCACCCGCCCUCAAGCACAGAAAAGAGAAAAGCUCCACCGGCCACCUCUGUCACACCACCCAUGGCACCACUCUCAGAAGACACCACCUGCUGUGCUCGCUGCGGAGAGCAUGAUCCACCUGCAAGCUUUCCGCAGGAGUGUAGGUCCGAGGUGCCAUGGGUGUGUUGUGACUUCUACCAGCACUGGUUCCACUGCAGGUGUGUGCAGUGGGAUCCAGAGGUGGCGGUGAAGAUUGAUUUUUGUUGUGAUUUUGUUGACAAUAUAGGGAUUGAGGUCAAGAUUUAAUUGUUUGUUUUCAUAUUAAAUUAGUUAUUUGUAAAAAGAAAUAUGCUAAAAGAUAAUAUAUAUAUACAUAUUUAUUCAACCCAUCUUGUGUAUUUCUUCCUUUACUUUCCAAGUGCAUCUCUGCAACACAAACUCAUGUCAAUGCACAUGACUGAAAUUCAAGUUUUAUUUGAUGUAAAUUAUUCAUACUCAUUUAUAUUUUAGUAUUAAACUGUGAUCUAUUUUCUCAAAACACAAGAUUAAUCUGUAAAACUAAUUAUGAGACAUUAUUUGGUUACAACACUGAAUAUGUUGGUGAAGAACCAUUUUUUAAGAGUCCACAGGAGGGCAAUAAAAAAGUUGACAGGCAAGUCAUUUUUUUUUUUACCGGAAGGCUAGCCAACAAAUCAACUUGCUAGUAAACAGGUUGGUGUCUUAUUUUGAACAAAAUUAAAACGGAUAUAUCUUGUAAUUGAACAAAAUAGUAAGGUGGCCAAAAAAUGGGGACCGCAUGCCGAUUUUUUUGCUAAGUCGUUUAUCAAAAAGCUGAUAUUAGUAGUAUUUCCACUGAAAUGUCAAACAUGCUAAUUGCUAACCUGUUAGCUAACAUUUUUACAACACCAAUAAUCACAAAACAUUGAUGGCUUGAUCACAAGAUAACACUGUUUUAGGCAAUAUAUUUCUUAAACGCUGUUGAAUAUGCCGAUAAUACAGGGUGCUACGCUACUUCUCAAAUCAACGUAUCCUACUAUUUUCAUCACCAAUGGGAACCGUCGACACGCCUAUCUUCCAAGGAGCAUCUUCCAGAGUGAACAACAGUAGAAGACGGGAAAGGGGAGACCCCUUUUUUAGACAAUCAUAGCCUUACAAGCGUGCCGAUGAACGAAGACAUGCACAUGUAAAUACAUUCAUGAUUUCUUAUUCCAAACAGGCGGCGGUUCGUGUGCAAAGUAUAUGAUUACUGUGAGAAUG